rnacentral:tRNA from 1 species
ACAGAGUAUAGCUUAAUUAAAGCUUCUUGCUUACACCAAGAUGAUGCCCUAUAAUCAAGGGUUACUCUG